rnacentral:lncRNA from 1 species
UUGCAAAUGUGACUAACUUCAUGUCGUAUUAAUUCCACAGAGCUCGGUUGUGGGUAGUGCGGCACCCUUACUCCUUCAGAAUCUGUCUCACCUACCUUUGGUACAGCAGCAGUUGAUGAAGUUUGAAAAUACCCACACUAAUAAUAAGCCUGGCUUGCUGGGAGACCCUCCCACCAUGGUGCUGCAGCCUGCACUGGCAAUAGGGCCACCACUGCCUCUGAAAACCGACCUGGGACACCAUGGAGACACACACAAAGCAUCCAAUCUGAUUCCAACUCAAACAACACUGGCAGCUGGGCUGGGCAUGUUGCCAUUCUUCCCACACCAGCUCACUGCUGGACAAGCUGGGCUGGGCCGUGGGACCACUCAGGAGAAGCAGUCAGCCUCAGCGGGCAUCACCGAAGCUAGUUUCUCAGGGUCGCAGCAGUAUCUGCAGACCUUCCCAGGCCUUCCUGCUGGAGGCCCGCUGACAGGCCACCAGAAAACACAACAGAGCCAGCCAAAAGGCGCAGAGGUUGCCUCUAAGAAUCAGACUUCACUCUUGGGAGAACCACCAAAAGAAAUUCGGCUCAGUAAAAAUCCUUAUUUGAAUUUGGCCAGUGUGUUGCCCAGUGUGUGCCUAUCUACUGCAAGUAAAGGCACACCACAGAAGACUGGAAUUGCUAGCAACAUUCUGGAUGCAAUCUCUCAGGGAAAUGAGUCCCAGCACGUACUGGAGAAAUGCAUCACUUAUUCUCCACCUUUCGAGGAUUAUGCCCAGGUGUCCUCUCUGAGAAAUGAGAAGCGAGGCUCCUCCUAUCUCAUCUCGGCCCCAGAAGGGGGUCCAGUAGAACUCGCUGGCCAGCACCCUCAGGACACAGGAGUGAGCUACACAGAAUCCUACUUGAAAAAGAAGCGUGUGUACUGA